UACGUAGGGUGCGAGCGUUGUCCGGAAUUAUUGGGCGUAAAGGGCUCGUAGGCGGCCAACUAAGUCGGAUGUGAAAUCCCCAGGCUUAACCUGGGAACUGCAUCCGAUACUGGAUGGCUUGAAUCCGGGAGAGGGAUGCAGAAUUCCAGGUGUAGCGGUGAAAUGCGUAGAUAUCUGGAGGAAUACCGGUGGCGAAGGCGGCAUCCUGGACCGGCAUUGACGCUGAGGAGCGAAAGCUAGGGGAGCAAACGGG
rnacentral:rRNA from 1 species